rnacentral:lncRNA from 1 species
GUGUGUGUGCAAGCACAGGGACACGUGUGACACACGUGUGCAAGCACAGGGACGUAUGUGUCACGUGUGCGUGCAAGCAUGGGAACACGUGUCACAUGUGCGUGCCAGCAUGGGGACACGUGUGUCACAUGUGCGUGCAAGCCCGGGGACACAUGUGUUGCACCAUCAGGAAGCGGUCGGUUCUCGGGUGCUGCGGGUGCAGCACGGCCAUUGCACGCGCAUGUGUGAGCACACGUGUGUGCAAGCAUCUAUGUGGUGCUGGCAGAUGGCGGUCAGCUCACAAACGCUGUGAGUGUGAGCUGCUAUGGCACACAAACUUGGGAGCACACACACAUGUAGACAUACAUGCACGCGUGUGUGAAAGCACGGGGACACGCGUGUAACACAAGCAGUUGGCUCACAGGCGCUGCGGGUGCAGCACGGCCGUUGCACGUGCACGUGUGAACACACAUGCACAUAUAUAUACAUGCAUGCACACGCGUGUGUUGGGCACACACACAUAAGUAUGUGCACAUGUAGCGUGCGAGCAGGCAGGUGUGAGCAACUGCGCUCUGUGAGUGCUGCUGGUGUUGCACACGCAUGUUCACAUGCACACACACACACACCCACUGCACACACCACACACACAAGUGAUACACCCAUCACACACACACUCACAACACACACCGCACACCCUCGGCACCCCGCACACCCUUUGCACGUCCAUUGCACGCCUAUUGCACACCCAUUGCCCAUCCAUUGCACACACCACACACAGAACAUGACACACACCACACAACCCACUGCACACAAUACACACACAACACACACACAACACACCCAAUCACAACACACACCGCACGCCCUUUGCACACCCAUUGCACACCCAUUGUAUGCCCAUUGCACACUCAGUGCACACAGAACAUGUGACACACACACACUCAACACCCUGCACACCCAUUGCACACCCACUGCACAUGUGACACAUCCCAUCCACCGCACACACAACACACUCCGCAUGCACUCGGUGCCCCACACACCCUUUGCACGCCCACUGCACACCCACAGCACACACCGUACACAGAACACACGAUACGCACACAGCACACAACAUGUACCGCAUGCCCUUUGCACGACCAUUGCACAGCCAUUGCACAGCUGCUGCACAACCAUUGCACAACCAUUGCACAGCCAUUGCACACACCACACACACACAACACACACCGCACACACUCAGUGCCCUGCACACCCACUGCACGCCCAUUGCACACACAACACAUGUGACAGACACACACACCACACACCGCACGCACUCGGUGACCUGCACACCCUUUGCACACCCAUUGCACAACCACAGCACACACAUAUCACAAGACAUACACAGCACACACACCACACGCCCUCAGUGCCCCGCACGCACUUUGCACGCCCAUUGCACACCCACAGCACACACAUAACACAAGACACGCACACAAUACAUUGCACCACACGCACUCGGUGCCCUGCACACCCUUUGCACACCCAUUGCACAGACACUACACACACCCACCACACACAAUCACAACACACACUGCACAUCCUCUGUGCCCCGCACACCCUUUGCACGCCCAUUGUACACACAACACAGAGAACACACGACACACACACAACACGCACCGCACGCCCUUUGCACACCCAUUGCACACCCACUGCACACACCACACACACAACACACACAACACACACACCGCACACCCUCGGCGCCCCACACGCCCUUUGCACACCCAUUGCACACUCAUUGCACACACCACACAUGACACACACACACACACACACACUGCACACACCACACAACACACACAACACCCACCACACACACACUCACAACACGCACCGCACGCCCUCGGCGCCCUGCACGCCCUUUGCACGCCCAUUGCACAACCA